ACCUACGGGACGCAGCAGUGAGGAAUAUUUGUCGAUGGUCGGUAGACUGAACCAGCCAAGCCGCGUGAGGGAUGAAGGUACAGAGUAUCGUAAACCUCUUUUGUCAGGGAACAAAGGCGGGGACGCGUCCCCGGAUGAGUGUACCUGAAGAAAAAGCAUCGGUUAACUCCGUGCCAGCAGCCGCGGUAAUACGGAGGAUGCGAGCGUUAUCCGGAUUUAUUGGGUUUAAAGGGUGCGCAGGCGGUCUGUUAAGUCAGCGGUCAAAGCCCGGGGCUCAACCCCGGCCCGCCGUUGAAACUGGCAGG
rnacentral:rRNA from 1 species